rnacentral:rRNA from 1 species
UACGUAGGGGGCGAGCGUUGUCCGAAGUUACUGGGCGUAAAGCGUGCGCAGGCGGUUUUGUAAGUUUGUCGUGAAAGCCCCGGGCUCAACCUGGGAAUUGCGAUGAAGACUGCAAGGCUUGAAUCUGGCAGAGGGGGGUAGAAUUCCACGUGUAGCAGUGAAAUGCGUAGAGAUGUGGAGGAACACCGAUGGCGAAGGCAGCCCCCUGGGUCAAGAUUGACGCUCAUGCACGAAAGCGUGGGGAGCAAACAGG